rnacentral:rRNA from 1 species
UACAGAGGGGGCAAGCGUUGUUCGGAAUUACUGGGCGUAAAGGGCGCGUAGGCGGCCUGCUAAGUCGAACGUGAAAUCCCUGGGCUCAACCCAGGAACUGCGUCCGAUACUGGUUGGCUUGAAUCCGGGAGAGGGACGUGGAAUUCCAGGUGUAGCGGUGAAAUGCGUAGAUAUCUGGAGGAACACCGGUGGCGAAGGCGACGUCCUGGACCGGCAUUGACGCUGAGGCGCGAAAGCUAGGGUAGCAAACGGG